ACAGCGCUGAGGACUUCGCUAUCUCGGCUAGGAAGUGCAAGUUCUAACCCUUGGGGACUUCUAAUGGCUCCCUGAGGUUUUGAUUCAGUUCCUGUAUCUGUCUUUACAGAAGCCUCAGGCAGCGGCAAGGCCUUUGUCUCGUCUGAGGUAGCUGUAGAUUCCUGAGCCUCACUAUCAGUUUGUGUCUUGUGGGCUGAACUACCAAAGAGACAAGGUCUUGCUAUGUUGCUCAGGCUGGUCUUGAACUACUAGACUCAAGCAAUCCUCCUGCCUUGGUCUCCCAAAGUGCUGGGAUUACAGGUGUGGGCCAUGGUGCCCAGCCAAGAGCUACUAAAUACUAAGAACUCUCUACGAACAUAGUCAUAUGUGACUCACCUGUUAUGCUGCAUAGUAAUCUUAAGGUUGGUGCAUCUCCCCCAAAACCAUUCAACAUGACAUCACUUGAAGCUUUGGGGACAGGAAUGGUCAUG